rnacentral:rRNA from 1 species
AAAACUUUCAACAACGGAUCUCUUGGUUCUGGCAUCGAUGAAGAACGUAGCGAAAUGCGAUAAGUAAUGUGAAUUGCAGAAUUUAGUGAAUCAUCGAAUCUUUGAACGCACCUUGCGCCCCCCGGCAUCCCGGCGGGCAUGCCUGUUCGAGCGUCAUU